GUAACGAUAAGGGGAGUGAAAAACCCCCCCGCCGAAAGACCAAGGUUUCCUGUCCCAUGUUAAUCAGGGCAGGGUAAGUCGGCCCCUAAGGCGAGGCGGAAACGCGUAGUCGAUGGGAAACAGAUUAAUAUUUCUGUACUUCUAUAUAUUGCGAAGGAGGGACGGAGUAGGCUAGGUGAGCACGGCGUUGGUAGUCCGUGUGAAAGUAUGUAGGCGGUUGUCUUAGGUAAAUCCGGGACUUCAUUAACGCUGAGAUACGAGACGAGACUCUACGGAGUUGAAGUCAUUGAUGCCAUGCUUCCAGGAAAAGCUUCUAAGCUUCAGAUAUAUAGGAACCGUACCCCAAACCGACACAGGUGGUUAGGUAGAGAAUACUAAGGCGCUUGAGAGAACUCGGGUGAAGGAACUAGGCAAAAUGGUACCGUAACUUCGGGAGAAGGUACGCUCUCUAAUGUGAAUGACUUGCUCAGUAAGCAUCGGAGAGUCGAAGUAACCAGGUGGCUGGAACUGUUUAUUAAAAACACAGCACUGUGCAAAAUCGAAAGAUGACGUAUACGGUGUGACGCCUGCCCGGUGCCGGAAGGUUAAUUGAUUGGGUUAGACUUAGGUCGAAGCUCAUGAUCGAAGCCCCGGUAAACGGCGGCCGUAACUAUAACGGUCCUAAGGUAGCGAAAUUCCUUGUCGGGUAAGUUCCGACCUGCACGAAUGGUGUAACCAUGGCCACGCUGUCUCCACCCGAGACUCAGUGAAAUUGAAAUCGCAGUGAAGAUGCUGUGUACCCGCGGCUAGACGGAAAGACCCCGUGAACCUUUACUAUAGCUUGGCACUGAACAUUGAACCUACAUGUGUAGGAUAGGUGGGAGGCUUUGAAACCGCGUCGCUAGAUGCGGUGGAGCCAACCUUGAAAUACCACCCUUGUAUGCGUGAUGUUCUAACCUAGGGCCCUUAUCGGGCUUGGGGACACUGUCUGGUGGGUAGUUUGACUGGGGCGGUCUCCUCCCAAAGAGUAACGGAGGAGCACGAAGGUUGGCUAAGUACGGUCGGACAUCGUACGGUUAGUGCAAUGGCAUAAGCCAGCUUAACUGCGAGACAGACACGUCGAGCAGGUACGAAAGUAGGUCAUAGUGAUCCGGUGGUUCUGUAUGGAAGGGCCAUCGCUCAACGGAUAAAAGGUACUCCGGGGAUAACAGGCUGAUACCGCCCAAGAGUUCAUAUCGACGGCGGUGUUUGGCACCUCGAUGUCGGCUCAUCACAUCCUGGGGCUGAAGUCGGUCCCAAGGGUAUGGCUGUUCGCCAUUUAAAGUGGUACGCGAGCUGGGUUUAGAACGUCGUGAGACAGUUCGGUCCCUAUCUGCCGUGGGCGUUUGAGAAUUGAGAGGAGCUGCUCCUAGUACGAGAGGACCGGAGUGGACGAACCGCUGGUGUUCGGGUUGUUAUGCCAAUAGCAUUGCCCGGUAGCUACGUUCGGAACUGAUAACCGCUGAAAGCAUCUAAGCGGGAAGCAGGCUUUGAGAUGAGUUCUCACUGGAGCUUUAAGCUCCCUAAAGGGUCGUUGGAGACUACAACGUUGAUAGGCAAGGUGUGUAAGUGCUGUGAGGCAUUGAGCUAACUUGUACUAAUUACCCGUGAGGC
rnacentral:rRNA from 1 species